rnacentral:rRNA from 1 species
UACGUAGGGUGCGAGCGUUGUCCGGAAUUAUUGGGCGUAAAGGGCUCGUAGGCGGUUUGUCACGUCGGGAGUGAAAACUCAGGGCUUAACCCUGAGCCUGCUUCCGAUACGGGCAGACUAGAGGUAUGCAGGGGAGAACGGAAUUCCUGGUGUAGCGGUGAAAUGCGCAGAUAUCAGGAGGAACACCGGUGGCGAAGGCGGAUCUCUGGGCCGUAACUGACGCUGAGGAGCGAAAGCAUGGGGAGCGAACAGG